UCUAUAAAAUGUUAAUUUGCUAAUAAUUGUAAAGCUCUUGGUUUAAUCUACGGUUUACAGUUUACUUGUAAUUUGUAUCCUACCUAUGUACUUUAAAUCGAAUUUUAUUAUUUUUACAACUAUGAAAAAAAUAAUUCAAUUUAUGGUUGAGAAAUCAAGAAAAAACAAGGGGCAUUGUUACCAUGGCUAUAGUGAUGGUUUAACUUGUAAGAGCACUGAGACAAUCGGAAUAGAGAAAUAUAAAAUUUGUAGCCAGCCAACAGAAAAAAAUAUAUUUUAUGUUACAAUUAAAAAAUCGGAAUCCAUCAAUACUAUUUAUAUACCACAUUUUUGAGGGCUGUUUCCUCAUAUUUAACCCAAAUAUCCAAAAUACCGACACCCCGGUGAGCUAAAGCUAUUCUCAUUCCGUACGUAGACCAAAAGCAUCGAAAUCGAUAAUGGACAUUCGUGUCUUUAAAAAUAUUGUGUUUGGUUUUUCCGAGUAAUAUCGACAAGCAAGAAUGUAACUAUUAGGAGAAGAUGAGGGGUCCGGACCAGAUUUUUUUAAUUAGAACAAUUUUA